UACGAAGGGGGCUAGCGUUGCUCUGAUUUACUGGGCGUAAAGGGCGCGUAGGCGGACAGUUUAGUCAGAGGUGAAAGCCCAGGGCUCAACCUUGGAAUUGCCUUUGAUACUGGCUGUCUUGAGUACGGGAGAGGUGAGUGGAACUGCGAGUGUAGAGGUGAAAUUCGUAGAUAUUCGCAAGAACACCAGGGGCAGGCGGCUCACUGGCCCGAUACUGACGCUGAGGCACGAAAGCGUGGGGAGCAAACAGG
rnacentral:rRNA from 1 species